GCGCCCCGCGCGCCCUCUCCCUCCUUCCCCGGAACGCGGAAGAACUGCAGAGGACGGUUGAAGCCAUCCACAGGAGCGUGACGGGGGACAUCCUUCCCCGGCUGCACAAGUGCCUGGCGUCCCCGACUAAGCGGGAAGAAGAGCACAAGCUCAUCAAGUCGAAGGUCGUGCAGGACGAGGAAGUGGUCCGUGUGCCCUUGGCGUUCGCCAUGGUUAAGCUGCUGCGGUCCCUGCCGCAGGAGGCGAUGGAGGCCAACCUGCCGAGUAUCCUGCUGAAGGUGUGCGCCCUACUCAAGAACAGAGCGCAGGAGGUCAGGGACGUGGCACGCAGCACCCUCGCCAGGAUCCUGGAGGACUUGGGCGUGCGCUUCCUGCAGUACGUUCUCAGAGAGCUGCAGACCACGCUGGUGCGCGGCUACCAGGUCCACGUGCUGACCUUCACCGUGCACCUGCUGCUGCAGAGCCUGGCCAGCCGCCUGCGGGUCGGGGACCUGGACGCCUGCCUAGACAUCCUGACCCAGAUCUUUAACCAGGAAUUGUUCGGGGCUGUCGCAGAGGAGAAGGAAGUGAAGCAGAUCCUCUCCAAAGUUAUGGAGGCGCGAAGAAGCAAGAGCUAUGAAUCCUACGAGAUCCUGGGCAAGUUUGUAGGCAGAGACCAAGUCACAAAGCUCAUCCUCCCGCUGAAAGAGGUGAGGGCUGAGGGCCUACGAGGUUGCGCGGCCACCAGGGGGCACCCUCGAGUUGGCAGCUGUGCACACAGCCUUGGGGCUCAGCUGCUUUCCCAGGCCCAGCAGGAAGAGCCUGGGUUUAUUGUGUCCCCACAUGCUGCAGCAUCUUCUCUGCGCACCCAUCUGGCCAAAUCAAGGUAUUUCUGGUGCAGGCUCAGGAGAGUCAGGCAAGGUGAUGCACACCUGUAACCCUGGCUGCUCAGGAGGCUGAGGCAAGAGAAUCCCAAGUUGGAUUCUGCCAGCCGGGGGCAGUUUAACAAGACAUUGUCUAAAAAGAAAGGAGGCAGGCAUAGGAGAGCAGGAAGAAACGUGGUGAAAGCAGAAAGUCAACGUCAAUCCCAGAUCUUUCUGGUCUGAAGCUCACAGCCCCCACCCUCACCCCAUUUCCUUUUGUCCCCCUGAAGGAGAAAGAGUCACUCCCCCGCCUUCCCGCGUCGGCCGUGGGCCCGCGGUGGUGUUUCUAGUUCAUUCUCUCCGGGUUCUUACCCAGAACUCCAGCGGAAAGCACUAAACUCCAGUGCUGCUCCUGACGGCAGCCCCAGCGCUGGGCUCACCGUUGCCGGGGGCUGACUUCCCAGUAGUGAGCGCACACGGUGUGGGGCCGCGGCUCGGAGUCCGCGUCCCCCAGCGACGGUCACGCGUGCCCGCAGGU
rnacentral:lncRNA from 1 species